GAUGAACGCUGGCGGCGUGCCUAAUACAUGCAAGUCGAGCGAACGGACGAGAAGCUUGCUUCUCUGAUGUUAGCGGCGGACGGGUAAGUAACACGUGGAUAACCUACCUAUAAGACUGGGAUAACUUCGGGAAACCGGAGCUAAUACCGGAUAAUAUUUUGAACCGCAUGGUUCAAAAGUGAAAGACGGUCUUGCUGUCACUUAUAGAUGGAUCCGCGCUGCAUUAGCUAGUUGGUAAGGUAACGGCUUACCAAGGCAACGAUGCAUAGCCGACCUGAGAGGGUGAUCGGCCACACUGGAACUGAGACACGGUCCAGACUCCUACGGGAGGCAGCAGUAGGGAAUCUUCCGCAAUGGGCGAAAGCCUGACGGAGCAACGCCGCGUGAGUGAUGAAGGUCUUCGGAUCGUAAAACUCUGUUAUUAGGGAAGAACAUAUGUGUAAGUAACUGUGCACAUCGUGACGGUACCUAAUCAGAAAGCCACGGCUAACUACGUG
rnacentral:rRNA from 1 species